ensembl:lncRNA
CGAGGUCACAAAAAACAACUUUUGUUAUGUCUAGAUCACAAGAAAACAUCUUUUGUUAUGUCUAGAUCACAACAAAACAACUUUCGAUAGGUCUAGAUCACAAGAAAACAACUUUUAUUAUGUCUACAUCACAACAAAACAACUUUUGUUAGGUCUAGAUCACAACAAAACAACUUUUGUUAGGUCUACAUCACAACAAAACUACUUUUGAUAGGUCUAGAUCACAAGAAGACAAAUUCUGUUAUGUCUAGAUCACAAGAAAAUGAGGUAGAGCUCACAAGAAAACAAAAUAGAAAAAAAAAGAUAAUGCAUGGCCUCUUAGGGCUUCCGUACAUACAGCAUCCGAUACGAGUCACGAAAUAAAAACCCCAAAAUUGUACAUUUUGGAAAUAUACAUUUUAAACCAGUUUGAUGAUCAUUUGUUAUGG